GAUGAAGAACGCAGUGAAAUGCGAUAAGUAAUGUGAAUUGCAGAAUUCAGUGAAUCAUCGAAUCUUUGAACGCACAUUGCGCCCGCCAGUAUUCUGGCGGGCAUGCCUGUUCGAGCGUCAUUUCAACCAUCAAGCCCCAGGCUUGUGUUGGGGACCUGCGGCUGCCGCAGGCCCUGAAAACCAGUGGCGGGCUCGCUGUCACACCGGGCGUAGUAGAUUUUAUCUCGCUCAGGGCGUGCUGCGGGUUCCGGCCGUUAAAAAGCCUUUUUUACCCAAGGUUGACCUCGGAUCAGGUAGGAAGACCCGCUGAACUUAAGCAUAUCAAUAGCGGAGGA
rnacentral:misc_RNA from 1 species